GAUGCUCUUGUGACUCCAUCUGGCAUGAUUCCCAUUAGCCCAUCCGCCUUAGAAAGGUUUUGCUAACUAAUUGUCUGUUAUUUUUAAAAGAUAAAAAUUUUAUUACUUUCCGUGGUUGCAUGAUUAUGUUUAUUUUUGUGGAGUGCAGAUCUAAUGUUGGAUGUUGAAGUGACACUAGAAUGCUUUCUUGGAUGGAAUUCUAAAAUUUUGAUUUUGGUUUAUGACCUGACAAAGAGGAUUAUAUGUUGUUAAGAGCAAAAAUGUUAGGUUGGUGCCAGUGCCAUCAAAAAGAUUCCCGUGUGCCAUUGCCGGAAGGCCAUAGUCAAUUUUCCAAAGCAUGAGCCUUCUAGAAAGAGAGUCUAAUGUGAAAUGAGUUUGCGUGAUUUGUAUUGUUUUGAGUGUAACCAUCAAACUUGAUAUUUUGUAAAUAACUAAAUAUGGAUUAGAAUAAAGGAUUUUUGUUCAUAGUUCAAUUUUUUUUUAUUUUCAGAAGUUGUUGUCAUGCUUGAAUCAUCAAAUGGAACUAAUUGCAAUAUUGAGUUACUGUAGCUGCAAAGUUUGACCAGCAGUGAUUGUCAAGAAAUGAAGUCGGUUAAAUUGCCCUUUAGAACAUCCCAAAUGGUAGGUUGCCACACAUUUUAUGACGUGAACAGUGAUAUUUUGAGAUGCUGCUGGCCAACCACUAGGCUUGUGCUUUUGGCUGCGAAGUGCAGACUGGGCGAAGGCUUGUUUUCUGAAGGCUGCUUCUGAAAUAAUUUUAAGGGCCCUAAACGGGUUUAAGUCCUGUCAAUAGUUUGGAGAGCAAUUGUUAAUUUUUCAGGUAAAUGAUUAUGGACAGUGACAGCUACAUCAAAUUCUACAAGUAAUUAUAGCAGUGUGAAACCUUGAAAGAGUAUGUGCCCCUAAAGUCAUGGAUGUAGCUGGAUUAUUUCCAAUGGCUGGAAGAAGUCUGCCCAAGUUAUCCCGAGUAACACUCCAACAAUAAAUUUCCCAGUAAGCUACAUCAACUUUUCAGAGUUCGAGGACUAAAAUCACAACAACUAUACAAUUCCCACGCUCCAUUGGCUUUAAUGGGUCAUAAACACAUACUGUUCAAAGUUUUGGCAACAAGAAACCACUUUUCCUCCCUUUUGUAUUGAGAUUAGGUGGGAUGUCCCUAUAAGUAUAAGUUAUUGAAUUGUUGUUGACCGUUUCAACUCUGUGCAAAAUAGUGAAAUAACCCUUGUUUAUUAUUAUCUGGAUUCAAAAAAAAAGUUGCAAUUGCAAUUUGUCUUGAACGUUAUUUUCAUCCUGUAAUAUAUCUAUCAACUUGGUCAUUGACUUGCAAUUACAAGUCCAGUAGUCUUAAU
rnacentral:misc_RNA from 1 species